rnacentral:misc_RNA from 1 species
GUUGGCUCUUUGCUUGCGCAACAACUUCCACCUGGCAUACCUCUUCAGUUUUGUGUCAAUGCUUGUAUCGCAUUGAAUGCACGGUGGGUUUCUUGUGUUGCAUGCCUAAUUGAUGGUAUCGUUUGACGAAUCGAUGUCUAUUUUCGUCUUGUGUUGCACAUGCGAUGCGAGAUGAACCUUAAAGUAGCCUUUGUGAUCCACUCUUUUGAUGCACAUGCAUCGAUUUUGUGGCUCAUUGAGUGUUUGCUUGGUCUCAUGGAUAUGGAACCUUGUGUGGGCAUGUGAUCUUUUAGUAGCUCCUUGUUUGCCCUAGUUAAGCUUUUCAAAUACGAUUUCCUAUCAUGUUCUAACGUGGUAGGCUAUAUCGAAUAUGAAUG